UGAAACGCUAUGAUAGGAAUGAGUAGUGAAACAAUCCCUGUAUUCAGAGAGCCGGUGGCUGGUGGAAACCGGUACAUAUUGUUUGAUGAAUUACCUCCUUGAGCAUCUGCUGUGAACCAUACAGGCUAGCGGCAGGCGGAUUGCGGCCGUUAUCCGUAUUAAGCGGAGGACAGGAGUGUCCUCAAGUUGGGUGGUACCGCGAACUUAUUCGUCCCUUCA
rnacentral:ncRNA from 1 species